rnacentral:misc_RNA from 1 species
AGCAGGCCCCACUUCUAAGAUCUCCUUCUGCAGACUGUCAACUGAAUCCACUGUCGUAACAUCAUGAAGAACAGGUUCACGAGGUUCAACAUCUACAGAUUGUGAUUCAGACUCGGGUUUGACUGGGUCUAAAAUCACAGCAUCAACUUUCUCUGCAAUCUCCGGAUGCUCUUCUUUUUCAUUUAUGAGCAAUUGAUUUUCUUUUUCAACUGUAGGUUGUUCGGUAGCAGAAUCUUGU